rnacentral:rRNA from 2 species
GACGAACUGUCCUAACGUUGUUCGGAAUCACUGGGCUUAAAGGGCGCGUAGGCGGUCCGACAAGUCGGGGGUGAAAUCCUGCAGCUUAACUGCAGAAGUGCCUUCGAUACUGUCGGUCUUGAGGGAGAUAGGGGUGUGCGGAACUCACAGUGGAGCGGUGAAAUGCGUUGAUAUUGUGAGGAACGCCGGAGGCGAAAGCGGCGCACUGGAUCUCUUCUGACGCUGAGGCGCGAAAGCUAGGGGAGCAAACGGG